UAGUCUAAAUGGCUGGUCAGCUGGCCAGUCACCUGGUUGGUUGGCUUGUCUUGUUGCUUGGUAGUAUGCUUAUAAAUCCCCCUAACGAGUGGCGUUCUCUUAAUCCGGUGKKSRWMRUWYAAMRWGRRKKGAACAUGAUAGCAAUCUCUUUGAUCCCUUUGACUGACGGGGCUAAAAAGCACGUCUUUUAUAGGGCUAAUUGAGUAUUGCUUGGUUUCUUGGAUUCAGAGCGCAUCGAUGGGUUUGGUGNUCUUUAUGGCUCCAUUGUUCCCUUCAUGAAUAAAGCUUUCUUGCUUCGAAAAAACGACGGUUGAUYAUAGAUUGACGUUUGUCAAUUUAUGUCAACCACGUCAAGAAGGAAUGC
rnacentral:misc_RNA from 1 species